GUUUCGGCCGGUGGAUGGUUAUAACUUAGUGGCGAACGGGUGAGUAACACGUAGGUAAUCUAUCCUUAGGACUGGGAUAACCACUGGAAACGGUGGCUAAUACCGGAUAAGACCACAGACAGUUAAUGUUUGUAGGUAAAAGAAGCAAUUUAACCUAAGGGUGAGCCUGUGGCCUAUCAGGUAGUUGGUAGGGUAAUGGCCUACCAAACCGAAGACGGGUAGCCGGUCUGAGAGGAUGGACGGCCACACGUGGGACUGAGACACGGCCCAGACUCCUACGGGAGGCAGCAGUGAGGUAAUUUUGCGCAAGUGGGGGAAAACCCUGACGCAGCGACGCCGCGUGGAGGAAGAAGGUCUUCGGGUUGUAAACUCCUUUUAUAGGGGAAGAUAAUGACGGUACCCUAUGAAUAAGCCACGGCUAACUCUGUG
rnacentral:rRNA from 1 species